rnacentral:rRNA from 1 species
UACGAAGGGGGCUAGCGUUGCUCGGAAUCACUGGGCGUAAAGGGUGCGUAGGCGGGUUUUUAAGUCAGGGGUGAAAUCCUGGAGCUCAACUCCAGAACUGCCUUUGAUACUGAAGAUCUUGAGUCCGGGAGAGGUGAGUGGAACUGCGAGUGUAGAGGUGAAAUUCGUAGAUAUUCGCAAGAACACCAGUGGCGAAGGCGGCUCACUGGCCCGGUACUGACGCUGAGGCACGAAAGCGUGGGGAGCAACCAGG